rnacentral:rRNA from 1 species
UACGUAGGGUGCGAGCGUUGUCCGGAAUUACUGGGUGUAAAGAGCUCGUAGGUGGUUUGUCGCGUUGUUCGUGAAAUCCCACGGCUUAACUGUGGGCGUGCGGGCGAUACGGGCAGACUGGAGUACUGCAGGGGAGACUGGAAUUCCUGGUGUAGCGGUGGAAUGCGCAGAUAUCAGGAGGAACACCGGUGGCGAAGGCGGGUCUCUGGGCAGUAACUGACGCUGAGGAGCGAAAGCGUGGGGAGCGAACAGG